rnacentral:rRNA from 1 species
GAUGAACGCUGGCGGUGGGCCUAACACAUGCAAGUCGAGCGACCAGACAGUGAGCUUUUUCUUUUAACGUUAGCGGCUGGCGGGUGAGUGACACGUGGAUCACCUUCUUCUUUUACUGGGAUAAUUUCGGGAAACAGGUGCUAAUACUGCAUAAUAUAUUGAACCGGAUAGUGCAAUAGUUAAUGACGCCUUUGCUGUCUGAUUUAGACGGAUCCGCGUCGGAUUAGCUAGUUGGUAAGGUAACGGCUUACCAAGGCAACGAUGCGUAGCCGAGCUGAGAGGAUGAUCAGCCACACUGGAACUGAGACACGGUCCAGACUCCUACGGGAGGCAGCAGUGGGGAAUAUUGGGCAAUGGGCGCAAGCCUGACCCAGCAAUACCGCGUGAGUGAAGAAGGUCUUCGGAUCGUAAAGCCCUGUUGUUGGGAAAGAAAAAAAGUGUGAGAAACCCCGGACGUUUUGACGGUACCCAAAGAGAAAGCACCGGCUAACUACGUG